CCAGUGGGAGGCGCUGUUCAACAUGCACAUGACCACCUCUGACUGUGUGUGUGUGUGUGUGUGUAUGUGUGUGAAGCACCUGCCUCAGUGGGAUUAGGCCCUGCCUCCUCAGCCACCAAGUCAGCGUACACGCAGCCCUGGAAUGCAGACAUGAAGCGUACGCUGGUGUGUGUGCUGAUGGUUGCCUGGAGCCUCGGAAGUGGCGCCCAGACAGUCAACCAGCCAACAGUGGACAUGCAUGUAGUGAAGAGCAAUGUCGUGAUGCUGGACUGUAGUUACGAAGGCACCAGUUCUGCCAACUACUAUAUCUUCUGGUACAAAAAGAAUGGCCAGGCGGCACCAGAGUUCAUCUUGAGCCGCUUUGUGAGCAGUCAGGAAAAGACGGUGAGCAGCUUUGACAAGAGGUUCAGCUGCAGCAUGAACGCCAGUGCCCAGCGAGCUCCUCUGGUGAUCGAAGACGUGCAGCUGAACGACUCCGCCAUCUUCUACUGCGCCCUGAAGCCCACAGUGACUGACAGCUCUGCUGCACAUGCACAAAAACUCCUGUACUCCCCUCAAGUCAGAGGUCUCAUGGUGGCAUCACCUCACAGAUAAUUUUUUUUUCACUGUUUCAAAGCUGGUUCGGAGUUGGUUGUCAUAGCUUUUGUUGUCCAUUGCCACGGUAUUAGGAGUGUGGAACCUUACCACAUGUACGUGUAUACAUAUACAGUAUAUGUGCAUGUAUGUAAAUAUGAGUUUGGAUGCAGUAGUAAUAUUAAACCAGGAUAAUUAAUGAAAAAAACAAUAAUAAAAGUGAUAUAAUAAUACGUAAUGAUAAAUGUUAUUUACCUUUGAAGAGGAGUGGUCGAACAUACGUUGUUGUGGAGGAGCUGGAGGAGGAGAUAUUGGAAAAAAAGGACAAAUGGUCGUCGUCGUUAGACUCUUCUAAAAGAGGUAGUGUUCUGUGGGUGGUGUAGAAUUAAGCAGGCUUAUUAACUCUUCAGAAACUUUAAUCACACGCUCUGUCUGGGUUGUAUAAUUUAGCUUUCCACUUAGCUUUAUCUCCCCAGCGUCUAACUCUUGCUCUGUGGGUCUCAUUAGUUCAAAUGGCUUCCUCUGUUGGUCCCAUUAGAAGUGUCACAGCGCCCUCUACUGGUCAAGCAUGUACAGUAGCAGUAUAAAUACAGAUUGAGCGACUACAAGGCAAAAUAAAAUAAAAGAUAGACCAGUCGGCUUGUGUUCGUAUCCAUGAGUGUUCGCUAGUUGGGUGUUCGUAAGUUGGGGACCUAGUGUAUAAUGAAUG